GACACCUACGCCUUUAUCGCCAGUUGCUUCUAGCGGGUCUCCGAGGGGCUAUACGACGCCCUACUAAUUUGGCUCAGGUAAAACAGGUAUUACAGGAAGCAGGGGAAACUCCCUCCGCCUUUCUAGAGAGACUUAAGGAGGCCUACCGUAUGUACACUCCCUAUGACCCAGAUGACCCAGGACAAAUGACGAGUGUCUCUAUGUCCUUCAUCUGGCAGGCUGCUCCAGAUAUCAGGACUAAGUUACAGAGGUUAGAAAAUUUGCAGGGCUAUACAUUACAGGAUUUACUUAAAGAAGCUGAAAAGAUUUUUAAUAAGAGAAAGAAUUGAGUCGAAUCUUGGCCGCCGUAGUUCAGGACCAAGAAAGGAAGGGAGAUAGGGGGGAGCUCGAAAGGGGCUGAAGCUGGAUAAAGAUCAAUGUGCCUAUUACAAAGAGAAAGGGCACCGGGCCAGAGAGUGCCCCAAGAAGCCUGGCGGACCCCGAAAGCCUCGACCACGAACCUCCCUCUUGGCUCUAGAUAAAGAUUAGGGAGGUCAGGGCCAGGAGCCCCCCCCUGAGCCCAGGGUAACGCUUAAAGUUGGGGGGCAGCCGGUUACUUUCCUGGUAGACACAGGAGCCCAGCAUUCAGUCCUCACCCAAGCUUCAGGACAACUCAGCGACCGGACGGCCUGGGUACAAAGAGCUACUGGUGAGAAACAAUACCGAUGGACUACGGAACGCCGGGUUCAGCUGGCUACCGGUAAGGUGACCCAUUCCUUCUUACAUGUUCCGGACUGCCCGUACCCUCUGCUGGGCCGUGACCUGCUCACCAAACUAAAAGCACAAAUUCAUUUUGAGGAAAGAGGGGCCCAAAUAACUGGCCCCCACGGAACUCCCCUUCAAGUUCUAACCCUAUGAACCGGGACAGGACACUGGCUUGGGCAGAGACUGGUGGGAUGGGGUUGGCGCUCCAACAGCCCCCCUUAAUUACAACUCCAGUCUCCAUAAAACAAUACCCCCUGUCACAUGAAGCUUAUCAAGGUAUAAGGCUUCACAUUACGAGGCUUCUAGAUCAAGGCAUCCUAGUCCCCUGCCGGUCGCCUUGGAAUACGCCUCUUCUGCCUGUUAAGAAACCCGUCACUGGAGAUUAUAGGCCAAUACAAGACUUGAGAAAGGUCAACAAGAGGAUAAAAGAUAUUCAUCCGACUGUUCCAAACCCUUACAAUUUGCUCAGUAACUGUUCAUCGAUGAGAAACAGGGGUAUGCUAAAGGGGUCCUAACACAAAGGUUGGGACUCUGAAAACGCCCUGUGGCCUACCUGUCUAAGAAAUUGGACCCUGUGGCCUCCGGCUGGCCACCGUGCCUAAAGAUGGUGGCUGCUAUUGCUGUCCUGAUCAAGGACGCUGGAAAAUUGACUUUGGGACAGCCACUCACCAUCCUAGCACCCCACGCAGUGGAGGCCUUGGUAAAGCAGCCCCCAGACCGCUGGCUCUCUAAUUCUCACACCAAGCCUUGUUACUGGAUGCAGAACGGGUUCAGUUUGGGCCCGUAGUCGCCCUCAAUCCUGCCACCUUGCUUCCUCUACCAGAGGAGGCAAAACAGCAUGACUGCCUACAAAUCCUCGCAGAAGUACAUGGAACCAGGCCGGACCUAUCGGACCAGCCUCUUCAGAAUGCUGACCACACAUGGUACACGGAUGACAACAGCUUCUUGGCAGAGGGAGAGUGAAAGGCUGGAGCUGCGGUCACUACGGAAGACAAAGUGAUUUGGGCGAAAGCCCUGCCUGCUGGUACCUCCGCACAACGGGCUGAACUCAUCGCCUUGACUCAGGCGUUCAAGAUGACAAAAGGUAAGAGGCUAAAUAUAUAUACAGACAGCCGUUAUGCCUUUGCCACGGCACACAUCCACGGGGAGAUCUACCGGAGGCGGGGGCUGCUCACAUCUGAGGGUAAAGAUAUGGCUAAAAUUCUGGCCCUCUUAGAAGCCCUAUUCUUGCCCAAAAGACUGAGUAUUAUAUAUUGUCCAGGACACCAGAAAGGACACAACCCAGAGACACGAGGAAACCGGCUGGCCGAUGCCACGGCGCGAAAAGCGGCCAUGAGCAAACAAAUCUUGCCCUUAAAUAGCCCAGACCAACCCACGCCCCCACCAGUGGGACAAACCAGUUGGGUUUAUGCCCAUGAGGACAUAGAGCUCCUAAAAAAAUGGGGGCCAUCUACCACCCUCAACUAAAACAGUGGGUCUACAAAGGACUUUUGAAUUGAUCUCCUUUUUACAUAAGAAGAUAAAAACCUUACUAGAUCGAGAAGAGAUAAAUCUGUUUUUUUUUUAAUUGGGACAAAGCGAUACAAAAGGUGACUGAGAGUUACAAAGCGUGUGCUCAGGUUAACCUGGGAAGGACCAUGAUUGGACAAGGAGUUCGUCCUAGGGGACACCGUCCCGACAUCCAUUGGGAAAUUGAUUUUACUGAAAUUAAACCAGGUAUAUAUGGAUACAAGUAUCUCCUAGUGUUUAUAGACACCUUCUCAGGAUGGGUCAAAGCCUUCCCCACGAAGCACGAGACUACAAAAAUGGUCACCAAGAAGCUCCUCGAGGAAAUCUUUCCCAGCCCUUCUCUGAGGGCCCAUUUACAGGCCCUACAGAUUGUGCAGAGAGACGUCUGGAGACCUUUGGCCGCUGCUUACCAGGACAAGCUUGAACAUCCGGUGGUGCCACACCUGUUCCAGAUUGGAGACACCGUGUGGGUGCACAGACACCAGACCAAGAAUCUCGAGCCACGGUGGAAAGGACCCUACACCGUCCUCCUGACUACCCUGACCGCCCUAAAGGUAGACGGAGUCUCGGCUUAGAUCCACGCACCACACCUCAAGGCAGUCCGGUCUGAGAAAUUGACUAAUCACAACACUACACCCCAGACAUGGAGAGUUCAGCACACUCCAAACCCCUUAAAGUUAAAACUCCUACGUGGCUCCUCCUAGCCCUUUUGUGGCCUAGAGUCAGUGGGGGAAUAAGCCCCCACCAGACAGAAAUUUCUUGACCAAGUCGAGUGAAAGAUUUCACUCAAAGUUAGCAAAAAAUGGGGGAAUGAAAGACCCCAGCUUAGCAGCAGUAACGCCAUUUUGCAAGGCUGUACUUAAGAUGACUGGUUCAGGGAAAGGUUAGAACACUGAGUACACAGCAGCUGCCAAGCAGGAUGUGUUUGGUUGAAGGCCUGGCAACAGGACGACUUCGGUUGAGCACCUGACAAUGAAAAAAAGCCCCGGGAGAGGUCCCACACCCUGGUGGGGGGCCGAGUCAGUCGUUAUGUUCCAAGAAGGUAGCUAAGAAACUUGCCCCCGGGCUGAACCCUUGGGGGGCCGAGUCAGCCGUUAUGUUUCAGGAAGGUAGCUAGGAAACUUGCCCCCGGGCUAAACCCUUGCCAUAUUAGAAUCCACCAAUUAUAUCCCUGUAACCAUGCAUCUGCUUCUGUAUGCUUGCUUCUGCUCCCCAAAAUCCUAUAAAAGCCCAUCCUUGGUUCCGUGGGGCGCGCCAGUCCCCCGAGUGACUGUAGCGCCCGCAGGUGCCUGUGCCUGUGUAUCCCGACAAUAAACCAAAUCCUCUUGCUGAUUGCA